GACGAACGCUGGCGGCGUGCCUAAUACAUGCAAGUCGAACGCUGAAGGAGGAGCUUGCUUCUCUGGAUGAGUUGCGAACGGGUGAGUAACGCGUAGGUAACCUGCCUGGUAGCGGGGGAUAACUAUUGGAAACGAUAGCUAAUACCCCAUAAUAGUAAAUGUUGCAUGACAUUUGCUUAAAAGGUGCAAUUGUAUCACUACCAGAUGGACCUGCGUUGUAUUAUCUAGUUGGUGAGGUAAUGGCUCACCAAGGCAACGAUACAUAGCCGACCUGGGAGGGUGAUCGGCCACACUGGGACUGAGACACGGCCCAGACUCCUACGGGAGGCAGCAGUAGGGAAUCUUCGGCAAUGGACGGAAGUCUGACCGAGCAACGCCGCGUGAGUGAAGAAGGUUUUCGGAUCGUAAAGCUCUGUUGUAAGAGAAGAACGAGUGUGAGAGUGGAAAGUUCACACUGUGACGGUAUCUUACCAGAAAGGGACGGCUAACUACGUG
rnacentral:rRNA from 1 species